rnacentral:lncRNA from 1 species
AGUCUUGGGUUUCUGCUUGUUCGGCUGCUGUGAGGACGGCGGGCGACCGCAGCUAAGAAAAGAGAUAGACGUGGCAGCACGCGGGAGUCGGAGACAUUGUCAUCGGUUCGGUAAAGUUUCUGUUCUCUGAUUUGGGGAUAUUCCCUGCCCAAAAAAUUCCUGGAAAAUUGACUAGUAUUAAGUGUGAGUAAAAGGUGUCCACUUUUUUUUAAGUCUUGAUUUUAGUUUUGUCUUGGAUAGUAUUUGGCAAGAUUUAGCCUAGAAAGUAUGUAGUGUUUAUUACAUAAGAAGCAAGUGGCUUUGUUACUGGGCUGGUUUUGAAACUCAUUUCUGUGUAUUAAAAUAACUUAAAUUUUUUUAUUUUAAAUUCUUAAAUGGUAAAUGUGAAGUGAAAUUUCAUCUCCCCCAAAUUUACCCUUUACCAACUGGAGUGAAGUCUUUAGCUCUAAUCAUCAAUUAUCAGGAAACCUUUGCAGGGCCAGCAUUGAAUGCCAUACCAGUGAUGCUUGUGUUGAUAUAAAGGAAGAAGAAUAGCUUCCUUUAGCAUCUCUGUGCUUCGCCCGAGCUGCUUCAGAAUGGCUCUAAUGCUGCUCUGCCUUCUUCAGCUCGCUGCCCCACUCUGUAGUUCCUCUGUAACUAUAUGCUUUUACCUUUUUUGGUUAAACACUCCCUGACGAUGACUGUUAACAGACCAUAUACAUUGACAUAUAUGUAUCUAUCAGUACAUCCAUAUAUAUGGAUUUCUCUUCAUCUUGA